rnacentral:rRNA from 1 species
AUUGAACGCUGGCGGCAUGCCUUACACAUGCAAGUCGAACGGUAACGGGCCUUCGGGUGCCGACGAGUGGCGAACGGGUGAGUAAUACAUCGGAACGUGCCCGAUCGUGGGGGAUAACGAGGCGAAAGCUUUGCUAAUACCGCAUACGAUCUACGGAUGAAAGCAGGGGACCGCAAGGCCUUGCGCGGACGGAGCGGCCGAUGGCAGAUUAGGUAGUUGGUGGGAUAAACGCUUACCAAGCCGACGAUCUGUAGCUGGUCUGAGAGGAUGAUCAGCCACACUGGGACUGAGACACGGCCCAGACUCCUACGGGAGGCAGCAGUGGGGAAUUUUGGACAAUGGGCGCAAGCCUGAUCCAGCCAUGCCGCGUGCAGGAUGAAGGCCUUCGGGUUGUAAACUGCUUUUGUACGGAACGAAAAGCCUUCUUUUAAUACAGGAGGGUCAUGACGGUACCGUAAGAAUAAGCACCGGCUAACUACGUG